CCUACGGGUGGCUGCAGUGGGGAAUAUUGGACAAUGGGGGCAACCCUGAUCCAGCCAUGCCGCGUGUGUGAAGAAGGCCCUCGGGUUGUAAAGCACUUUCAGUGAGGAAGAACGCCUGGUGGUUAAUACCCAUCAGGAAAGACAUCACUCACAGAAGAAGCACCGGCUAACUCCGUGCCAGCAGCCGCGGUAAUACGGAGGGUGCGAGCGUUAAUCGGAAUUACUGGGCGUAAAGCGCGCGUAGGUGGCUUGAUAAGCCGGUUGUGAAAGCCCCGGGCUCAACCUGGGAACGGCAUCCGGAACUGUCAAGCUAGAGUGCAGGAGAGGAAGGUAGAAUUCCCGGUGUAGUGGUGAAAUGCGUAGAGAUCGGGAGGAAUACCAGUGGCGAAGGCGGCCUUCUGGACUGACACUGACACUGAGGUGCGAAAGCGUGGGUAGCAAACAGGAUUAGAUACCCUAGUAGUC
rnacentral:rRNA from 1 species